rnacentral:rRNA from 1 species
UACAGAGGUGGCAAGCGUUGUUCGGAAUUACUGGGCGUAAAGGGCGCGUAGGCGCCAUCUAAGUCAGACGUGAAAUCCCUCGGCUUAACCGGGGAACUGCGUCUGAUACUGGAUGGCUUGAGUUUGGGAGAGGGAUGCGGAAUUCCAGGUGUAGCGGUGAAAUGCGUAGAUAUCUGGAGGAACACCGGUGGCGAAGGCGGCAUCCUGGGACCAACACUGACGCUGAGUGAGCGAAAGCCAGGGGAGCAAACGGG